UACGAAGGGAGCUAGCGUUGUUCGGAAUCACUGGGCGUAAAGCGCACGUGGGCGGAUUUGCCAGUCAGGGGUGAAAUCCCGGGGCUCAACCUCGGAACUGCCUUUGAUACAGCAAGUCUUGAGUUCGAGAGAGGUGGGUGGAAUUCCUAGUGUAGAGGUGAAAUUCGUAGAUAUUAGGAAGAACACCGGUGGCGAAGGCGGCCCACUGGCUCGACACUGACGCUGAGGUGCGAAAGCGUGGGGAGCAAACAGG
rnacentral:rRNA from 1 species